AUGCACGCUAGCUACAGGCUUCACCCCUGCCAGUCGCGGGGCAGCAUGGGGGUUGCUUGCAAUCCCCGAUGGCGACCGGCGCACGGGUGAGUAACGCGUAUCCAACCUGCCCUUCACCACGGGAUAACCCGGCGAAAGUCGGACUAAUACCGUAUGUUGUCCAUUGACGGCAUCCGAUUUGGACGAAAGGCUUGGCGGUGAGGGAUGGGGAUGCGUCCGAUUAGCCAGACGGCGGGGUAACGGCCCACCGUGGCUACGAUCGGUAGGGGUUCUGAGAGGAAGGUCCCCCACACUGGAACUGAGACACGGUCCAGACUCCUACGGGAGGCAGCAGUGAGGAAUAUUGGUCAAUGGGCGUAAGCCUGAACCAGCCAAGUAGCGUGCAGGAUGACGGCCCUAUGGGUUGUAAACUGCUUUUAUGCGGGGAUAAAGUGGCCCACGGGUGGGCUUUUGCAGGUACCGCAUGAAUAAGGACCGGCUAAUUCCGUG
rnacentral:rRNA from 1 species